UGGGCGAAAGCCUGAUCCAGCCAUGCCGCGUGAAUGAUGAAGGCCUUAGGGUUGUAAAAUUCUUUCAGCAGGGAAGAUAAUGACGGUACCUGCAGAAGAAGCCCCGGCUAACUUCGUGCCAGCAGCCGCGGUAAUACGGAGGGGGCUAGCGUUGUUCGGAAUUACUGGGCGUAAAGCGCUCGUAGGCGGAUUGUUCAGUCAGAGGUGAAAGCCCGGGGCUCAACCCUGGAACUGCCUUUGAUACUGGCAGUCUUGAGUUCAGGAGAGGUGAGCGGAAUUCCGAGUGUAGAGGUGAAAUUCGUAGAUAUUCGGAGGAACACCAGAGGCGAAGGCGGCUCACUGGACCGAUACUGACGCUGAGGAGCGAAAGCGUGGGGAGCAAACAGGAUUAGAUACCCUGGUAGUCCACGCCGUAAACGAUGAGUGCUAGUUGUCUGGCAGCAUGCUGGUAGGUGACGCAGCUAACGCAUUAAGCUCUCCGCCUGGG
rnacentral:rRNA from 1 species